AGUGAACGCUGGCGGCAGGCCUAACACAUGCAAGUCGAGCGGCAGCGCGGGGCAACCCUGGCGGCGAGCGGCGGACGGGUGAGGAAUGCAUCGGAAUCUACCUCGUUGUGGGGGAUAACCUCGGGAAACCGGGACUAAUACCGCAUACGACCUACGGGUGAAAGUGGGGGACCUUCGGCCUCACGCGAUGAGAUGAGCCGAUGCCGGAUUAGCUAGUUGGCGGGGUAAAGGCCCACCAAGGCGACGAUCCGUAGCUGGUCUGAGAGGAUGAUCAGCCACACUGGAACUGAGACACGGUCCAGACUCCUACGGGAGGCAGCAGUGGGGAAUAUUGGACAAUGGGCGCAAGCCUGAUCCAGCCAUGCCGCGUGUGUGAAGAAGGCCUCGGUUGUAAG
rnacentral:rRNA from 1 species